GAUUAAAUUUGUAAGGGCGUAUGGUGGAUGCCUUGGCAUUAGAAGCUGAUGAAGGACGUGACUAACUACGAUAUGCUUCGGGGAGAUGUACGUAAUCUUUGAUCCGGAGAUUUCCGAAUGGGGGAACCCACUAGUGGUAAUGCACUAGUAUCGUAUAAUGAAAACAUAGUUAUACAGAAAGCAACCCAGUGAACUGAAACAUCUUAGUAACUGGAGGAAAAGAAAGAAAAAUCGAUUUCCUUAGUAGUGGCGAGCGAAACGGAAAGAGCCCAAACCGACUUUAGAGUCGGGGUUGUAGGACCUCUACUUAAGAGUUACAAAUUCACAAUAUAGUUGAACUAUUCUGGAAAGUUUGGCAAAACAAGGUGAUAGCCCUGUAAACGAAAUAUUGUGAACUCUUUGAGGUAUCCUGAGUACAACGAGACACGUGGAAUCUUGUUGGAAUCUGCGGGGACCAUCCCGCAAGGCUAAAUACUCUCUAAUGACCGAUAGUGAACAAGUACCGUGAGGGAAAGGUGAAAAGAACCCCGGGAGGGGAGUGAAAUAGAAACUGAAACCGUAUGCUUACAAAAAGUUCGAGCACAUUAAUGUGUGAGAGCGUGCCUUUUGCAGAAUGAACCGGCGAGUUAUUGUAUUAUGCAAGGUUAAGUCGAACAGAUGGAGCCGAAGCGAAAGCAAGUCUGAAUAGGGCGCUUUAGUAUGAUGCAAUAGACCCGAAACCGAGUGAUCUAGCCAUGAGCAGGUUGAAGUUGGGGUAAGACCCAAUGGAGGACCGAACCGAUAUGCCCGGAAACGCGUACGGAUGACUUGUGGUUAGCGGAGAAAUUCCAAACGAACUCGGAGAUAGCUGGUUCUCCCCGAAAUAGGUUUAGGCCUAGCCUUGAUUGAAUCUGCCCGGAGGUAGAGCACUGAAUGUGCGAUGGCGUCGUCUAGAUGUACUGAGUACAAUCAAACUCCGAAUGCUGGGUAGUACUAAUCAGGAGUCACUGUAUGGGUGAUAACGUCCAUACGGGAGAGGAAAAGAAUCCGGAUCGCCAGCUAAGGUCCCAAAAUUUGUGUUAAGUGGGAAAGGAUGUAGAGUUGUCAAAACAGCUAGGAGGUUGGCUUAGAAGCAGCCACCCUUUAAAGAGUGCGUAAUAGCUCACUAGUCGAGUGACACUGCGCCGAAGAUGUACCGGGGCUAAACACAAUACCGAAGCUGCGGACUUGUACUUAUGUGCAAGUGGUAGGGGAGCGUUCUAAGGGCUGUGAAGGUAGACCGUAAGGACUGCUGGAGCGUUUAGAAGUGAGAAUGCCGGUGUGAGUAACGAAAAUUGGGUGAGAAUCCCAUUCACCGUUUGACUAAGGUUUCCUGGGUAAAGUUCGUCUUCCCAGGGUUAGUCAGGACCUAAGAUGAGGCUGAAAAGCGUAGUCGAUGGACAACAGGUUUAUAUUCCUGUACCACCUAUGUAACUGAUGGAGUGACGGAGAAAGCUAAUGAGAGCCAGUUAUUGGAUUCUGGUCUAAGUGCGUAGGCUAGUAUGUUGGGAAAUCCGCAAUACUAUUACAGCUGAAACAUGAUGGGGAAGUGAUCCUUCGGGUGAGCGAACUUUCAUGAUGCUACGCUUCCAAGAAAAGCUUCUAGGGCUAAUUGCAUAGGUGCCUGUACCGACAACCGACACAGGUGGUCAAGGAGAGUAUCCUAAGGUGAGCGAGAGAACUAUGGUUAAGGAACUCGGCAAAAUGACCCCGUAACUUCGGGAGAAGGGGUGGUCUAGCGAUAGACCCGCAGUGAAUAGGCCCAGGCAACUGUUUACCAAAAACACAGGUCUCUGCUAACACGUAAGUGGAUGUAUAGGGGCUGACGCCUGCCCAGUGCUGGAAGGUUAAAGAGAUUAGUUAGUAUGACGCAAGUCGAUAAUACGAAGCUUUGAACUGAAGCCCCAGUGAACGGCGGCCGUAACUAUAACGGUCCUAAGGUAGCGAAAUUCCUUGUCAGGUAAGUUCUGACCCGCACGAAAGGCGUAAUGAUCUGGGUACUGUCUCAACCAUAGACUCGGUGAAAUCUUAAUACCUGUGAAAAUGCAGGUUACCCGCGACUGGACGGAAAGACCCCGUGGAGCUUUACUGUAGCUUGAUAUUGGAAUUCGGUAAACUAUGUAGAGCAUAGGUGGGAGACUAUGAGACUAAGGCGCCAGCCUUAGAGGAGUCACCAUUGGAAUACCACCCUUAGUUUAUUGGAUUUCUAACCUAGAGCCAUUAUCUGGUUCAGGGACAGUGUCUGGUGGGCAGUUUGACUGGGGCGGUCGCCUCCUAAAAUGUAACGGAGGCGUUCAAAGGUUCCCUCAGAAUGGUUGGAAAUCAUUCAAAGAGCGUAAAGGUAUAUAGGGAGCUUGACUGCGAGACCUACAAGUCAAGCAGGUGCGAAAGCAGGACUUAGUGAUCAGGCGAUUCAGAAUGGAAUGGUCGUCGCUUAACGGAUAAAAGUUACCCCGGGGAUAACAGGCUGAUACCACCCAAUAGUUCACAUAGACGGUGGUGUUUGGCACCUCGAUGUCGGCUCGUCAUAUCCUGGAGGUGGAGUCGCUUCCAAGGGUUGGGCUGUUCGCCCAUUAAAAUGGCACGCGAGCUGGGUUCAGAACGUCGUGAGACAGUUCGGUCCCUAUCCGUCGUGGGCGCAGGAAAAUUGAGGAGAGCUAUCCUUAGUACGAGAGGACCGGGAUGGACCUACCUCUGGUGUAUCUGUUGUCACGCCAGUGGCAGUGCAGAGUAGCUAUGUAGGGAAGGGAUAAACGCUGAAAGCAUCUAAGCGUGAAGCCCUCUCCAAGAUGAGUUUUCCCAUUGUUUAACAAGUAAAAUCCCAGAUAGACUAACUGGUUGAUAGGCUAGAAGUGGAAGUGUAGCGAUACAUUGAGCGGACUAGUACUAAUAGAUUGAGGAUUUAAUCCC
rfam:Clostridium sp. CAG:302 genomic scaffold, scf40